rnacentral:rRNA from 1 species
CUGAUGGCGACCGGCGCACGGGUGAGUAACACGUAUCCAACCUGCCGAUAACUCGGGGAUAGCCUUUCGAAAGAAAGAUUAAUACCCGAUGGUAUAAUCAGACCGCAUGGUUUGAUUAUUAAAGAAUUUCGGUUAUCGAUGGGGAUGCGUUCCAUUAGGCAGUUGGUGAGGUAACGGCUCACCAAACCUUCGAUGGAUAGGGGUUCUGAGAGGAAGGUCCCCCACAUUGGAACUGAGACACGGUCCAA